CGGGAUAACAACCUGGAAACAGAUGCUAAUACCGGAUAACAAUAGAUGAUGCCUAUCAACUGUUUAAAAGAUGGUUCUGCUAUCACUCUUGGAUGGACCUGCGGUGCAUUAGCUAGUUGGUAGGGUAACGGCCUACCAAGGCGAUGAUGCAUAGCCGAGUUGAGAGACUGAUCGGCCACAUUGGGACUGAGACACGGCCCAAACUCCUACGGGAGGCAGCAGCG
rnacentral:rRNA from 1 species